UUAAAAACAAGGCGUUUCUAAAUUCAUUUGUUACUUCAUGAAAACAAAGAAAUUAACCAAGUAAAAAUUCUCGGGAGGUUGGACACACCUCAAGAAAGAAAUGCACCAAGAAACCAGAAAUAAACUGUUCCUACACUGGUGAGCCCCAGAACCAGUCAAGGUUACUCAAUGUUUUCAGUUUUCUAAACAAGGCGUGGAAGCCAGGUUUUAGAAGCUGAUCCUAAAGGAAACUUUUCAUAAUGGAGCAUAAAUUUGAGAGGAAAAGGACAUGGAAAUGACACCUUACAUCUCUUGGUCAUGAAUGUUUCCUACCCUACACCUUUUGAACGGAUAAUGUCACUGAAAUACUUCUAAAAUUAUUAAAUUCUUUUAUUCUUUUAAAAACCAGUACAUAAAUGCAUAUCAUCUCAUGAAGUUACAUGAUCUUUAGGAAAAAAAUCUGAAAUUUGAGCAGAAGGCGGCAGCAGAGUACAGCCCAGUCACAAAUAGAAAGCAGUUUCAAACACCAUCACGUUCUGCGCUUG
rnacentral:lncRNA from 1 species